rnacentral:tRNA from 1 species
CAGGAUGUAGCUCAGUGGUAGAGUGCUUGCCCAGUAUACAUGAGGCCCUGAGUUCCAUCCCCAGCACUGUGA